ensembl:lncRNA
AACCUGACAGAAGGAAAUCCACCCCCUCGCCUUCCCAAGGCACCAAAGGGCCUUUUGGUUCCUUGCUCCCUUUUCAUUGCCUUGUUUCUGCUCUCUCCCUCAGGUUUCCUUGCUGAGCUUUCACUGUGAAGCCAAAUCUGCACUGUUUGGUGUCUGCAGCUUCGUUUCUGGGUCCAGGCAAUGGGAUGGAGAAAGGAUGGGGGUGAUCCAACAGCCAGCAUGGAAGGCAUGGAGGUGCUGCCUGGCUCCACGUUACCCACAUGAAAUGCCAAAUUCCCACCCAAUCCAAAGGAAAAGAAAAGCCACCGAGAGCAGCUGUCCCCAGCAGUGCCCUAUCGCUGCCUGAGCCUGCUGUGCUCAGUGUCGCUCCGUGUGGGCUCAGCACAGGGGACUCACUGUUGUGAACCACGCAGAGUUGCAGAUCACAAAUAACUGCAUAAUAAACAGAUGUAAACAGCCGUUUGGUUCAUGG